rnacentral:misc_RNA from 1 species
AUUCUUCGUUCCUGCAAUCUCUUGAUAGGUACUAGUGAUUAUGAAAUCUGAAUGAUUCAUUGACAGUAGGUCAGCAGUAAACUGACAUGAAAAAUGAUAUUUCUCCUCAAACUUUUUCCAAUAGAUGUCAGAAUCAGGAUACUUUGUUUUCUCCAAAGCAUGAGCAAUGGUACACUGUGUGAUGCCCAUUUUAUAUGCUAACAGGGAGGCAACUAAAUUUCCAUCACUGUAGUUGCCAAUAAUCAGAUCAGGCACUCCCUGGAGCUCAG